GACGAACGCUGGCGGCGUGCUUAACACAUGCAAGUCGAACGGUGAAGGGGCCUGCUUUUGUGGGUCCUGGAUGAGUGGCGAACGGGUGAGUAACACGUGAGUAACCUGCCCCCUUCUUCUGGAUAACCGCAUGAAAGUGUGGCUAAUACGGGAUAUUCUGGGUCUGUCGCAUGGUGGGCCUGGGAAAGAUUGCGCUUUUUUGGUGUUUUUGGUGGGGGAUGGGCUCGCGGCCUAUCAGCUUGUUGGUGGGGUGAUGGCCUACCAAGGCGGUGACGGGUAGCCGGCCUGAGAGGGUGGACGGUCACACUGGGACUGAGACACGGCCCAGACUCCUACGGGAGGCAGCAGUGGGGAAUAUUGCACAAUGGGCGCAAGCCUGAUGCAGCGACGCCGCGUGAGGGAUGGAGGCCUUCGGGUUGUGAACCUCUUUCGCCAGUGAAGCAGGCCUGCCUCGUUUGUGGGUGGGUGACG
rnacentral:rRNA from 1 species